UUCCGAAUCGGAGCCCCGGUGCGGAAGUUGAGUGAGAGUUUCGGCUCGGAUCGGAGGGCGGAAGAGGAGCGGAAAGAAGCGGCGGCGAGGUUACCGUUUGAGAGCUUAGAGAUCGAAGCCAUAGAGAGAGAGAGAGAGAGAGAAUUUAUGGAUUACGAUUAGAUAAUUUGAAGUAAAGACUAAUUAAAGACGAAGGGAAGAAGGGUUACUUACAGGGGUGAAAGUCGUCUG
rnacentral:lncRNA from 1 species